rnacentral:rRNA from 1 species
CCGUGAUAGCUCGUUCUCCUCGAAAUAGCUUUAGGGCUAGCCUCGGAUGAUUACUCGCGGUGGUAAAGUACUCGAUGGACUAGGGUCUGUUAACAGAUACCGAAUCCAACGAAACUCUGAAUGCCGCGAAGUCAAGUCCGGGAGUCAGACGGCGGGGGCUAAGCUUCGUCGUCGAGAGGGAAACAGCCCAGACCGCCAGCUAAGGUCCCCAAGCAGUGACUAAGUGGGAAAGGAAGUGAAGUCGCUCAGACAGCCAGGAGGUUGGCUUAGAAGCAGCCAUCCUUUAAAGAAAGCGUAAUAGCUCACUGGUCGAGCGUCUUUGCGCCGAUAAUACAACGGGGCUCAAGCCAUUUACCGAAGCUGCGGAUUUCGAACCCCUCCGGGGUUCGGAGUGGUAGAGGAGCGUUGAGUACAGUUUGAAGCGGGACCGCGAGGGCCCGUUGACGGUACUCAAGUGACCCUGCCGGCAUAAGUAGCGAUAACGGAGGUGGGAACCCUCCGCGCCGAAAGUCUAAGGUUUCCUGAGAAAGGUUAAUCCGCUCAGGGUCAGUCGGUCCCUAAGGUGAGGCCGAAAGGCGUAGCUGAUGGACAGCCGGUUAAUAUUCCGGCACUGUGGCGGAGACGUUAUGACGAAGCGGGGACGCAGGAGGAUAGCGGAGUCGAAACCCGCAAGGGCGAUGCGCGCAUCGAGGAGGAUCCGGCAGGCAAAUCCACCGGGUCGGUUCAAAGCCACUCUGAGGUGUGAGCCGAGGGGCCUCGGCCCCAGUAAGUCCGUGACUUCAUGCUGCCAAGAAAAGCCGCUAAGCAGUCUCCGACGCAACCGUACCCCAAACCGACACAGGUAGACGAGGUGAAUAUCCAAAGGCGCUUGAGAGAACACUCGCUCAGGAACUAGGCAAAUUAGCACCGUAACUUCGGGAGAAGGUGUGCCCCGCUAGGGUUCAUAGCCCGAGGGGGCCGCAGUGAAAGGCGCUCUGCGACUGUUUAACAAAAACACAGGUCUCUGCAAAGUCGAAAACGACGUAUAGGGGCUGACGCCUGCCCGGUGCCGGAAGGUUAAAGGGAGAGGUCAUGGGGAGCAAUCCCCGGCAGCUUUGAACUGAAGCCCCGGUGAACGGCGGCCGUAACUAUAACGGUCCUAAGGUAGCGAAAUUCCUUGUCGGGUAAGUUCCGACCUGCACGAAUGGCGCAACGACAGACCGACUGUCGUAGCGAGUGACUCAGCGAACUUGUAGUACCGGUGAAGAUGCCGGUUACCCGCACCUAGACGGAAAGACCCCGUGCACCUUUACUACAACUUAGCCAUGAAUCGCGGAAUUGUAUGCGCAGGAUAGGUGGGAGGCUUUGAACCAGGGCUUUUGGGCUCUGGGGAGCCAACGGUGAGAUACCACCCUUACGGUUCUGUAGUUCUAACCUCGACCCGUGAUCCGGGCCAGGGACACGGCUAGGC